AGUUCACUACUAUUAUAAAUAUUAUUACUUUAUUUUAAUAAUUGCGGACAGUUUAUUAUUACCUUAUUUAAUUAGAAAAUGUAAUAAAGUGUUGGUUUAUAAGGACAAUUUAAAGAAUGGAAAUAGGAUUUUUAACGUUAAGCUAAUAAACGAGAGUUUUUUGUGUGCAUCGUUGACGGAUAAUGAGGCUAUUUUAACGUAGUAUACGAGUUUCUCUUGUUAUAAGUAAUGUCACGUUUAUUUAAAUGUAAUCAUCUUAAAUCAUUAUGAUUUACAAACGAAUGUUACAAUGUUUUGCCUUAGAAAGAUAACUGAAAUAAAUACGUGUUAUGUCUGUCCGUAGAUCAAUACCUCAUUGCCUUAGAAAGAUAACUGAAAUAAAUACGUGUUAUGUCUGUCCGUAGAUCGAUACCUCAUUGCCUUAGAAAGAUAACUGAAAUAAAUACGUGUUAUGUCUGUCCGUAGAUCGAUACCUUACUCAUAUUCGCCAAGAUGCUUGGACACGUGUGGCUUACCAUAUUGCUUGUGGUGUCAUUUAAAGCUACCAGUCACAGCUCGAUGAUUUGCUUGAUGACUUAUGUCAACGCUAACUUGAGAGCACAUGUUUCAUUAAAACCUUCAGAUAACAGGUUACUGAACUGUACAGAUUACUUGAUAACGUUAGACUUUCGUUCCUUGGCAAAGAACUUUUCAGCAGAACCAUUAUCGAUAUAUCAGCCUAACUAUAACAUCAACGGAUGUGAAAAUAGCAGUAGCCGCGUACUGUUCCUAAUCACCCGUGCCUGCAUUGCCCACUGCGUGAUUGCCACCAGAUGAAAGCAGUGGCCGCGAACAACACAUUCGCAGAAGUUUACAAACCAGGCGUAUGUCCUGAGCCUCGCUUUGGGUUAUGCUGGGAAGAGUGCAGUUCCGAUCAUGACUGCCUGGGUGUACAGAAAUGCUGUUACAACGGCUGCGGACAUACCUGUGAUCGACCAAAAUAUUGACAGCGUUUAUCCGAUUUUUGUAGAUGUGAACCUUUUCUGCAAUAUAAUGAAUGUAUGUAACGUUACAUAACUUAAGAAAAUGUAUGCACAC